GUGAGUGAUGAAGGUUUUCGGAUCGUAAAACUCUGUUGUUAGGGAAGAACAAGUACCGUUCGAACAGGACGGUACCUUGACGGUACCUAACCAGAAAGCCACGGCUAACUACGUGCCAGCAGCCGCGGUAAUACGUAGGUGGCAAGCGUUGUCCGGAAUUAUUGGGCGUAAAGCGCUCGCAGGCGGUUCUUUAAGUCUGAUGUGAAAUCUUACGGCUUAACCGUAAACGUGCAUUGGAAACUGGGGAACUUGAGUGCAGAACAGGAGAGUGGAAUUCCACGUGUAGCGGUGAAAUGCGUAGAGAUGUGGAGGAACACCAGUGGCGAAGGCGACUCUCUGGUCUGUAACUGACGCUGAGGAGCGAAAGCGUGGGGAGCGAACAGGAUUAGAUACCCUGGUAGUCCACGCCGUAAACGAUGAGUGCUAGGUGUUAGGGGGUUUCCGCCCCUUAGUGCUGAAGUUAACGCAUUAAGCACUCCGACUGGGGAGUACGGCCGCAAGGCUGAAACUCACAAGAAUUGACGGGGGCCCGCACAGGCGGUGGAGCCUGUGGUUAAUUCGAAGCAAGCGAAGAACUUA
rnacentral:rRNA from 1 species